rnacentral:rRNA from 1 species
UUACCAUGGCAAGGUCGAACGAGAACAGCAAGCAGAGCUUGCUCUCUUGCUGCUAAGUGGNGNCACGGGUGAGAUAAUAUAUAGGUAAUAUGCCUCUUACUAAUGGAUAAUUGUUGGAAACGACUUGUAAUACCUUAUAUGCCUUUUGAACAUAAGUUCGUAAAGGGAAAGAUUUAUCGGUNAGAGAUUAGCCUGUACGGNAUCAGAUAGUUGGNGGGGUAAUGGCCUACCNAGUCUAUGACACCUAACUGGUUUGAGAGGAUGAUCAGNCACNCUGGAACUGAGACACGGUCCAGACUCCUACGGGAGGCAGCNGNGGGGAAUAUUGCACAAUGGACNAAAGUCUGAUGCAGCAACGCCGCGUGGAGGAUGACACAUUUCGGUGCGUAAACUCCUUUUAUAUGAGAAGAUAAUGACGGNAUCAUAUGAAUAAGCACCGGCUAACUCCGUGCCAGCAGCCGCGGUAAUACGGGGGGUGCAAGCGUUACUCNNAAUCNCUGGGCGUAAAGAGCAUGNAGGCGGGUGAAUAAGUUGGAAGUGAAAUCCUAUAGCUUAACUAUANAACUGCUUCCAAAACUGUUCACCUAGAGUAUGGGAGAGGUAGAUGGAAUUUCUGGUGUAGGGGUAAAAUCCGUAGAGAUCAGAAGGAAUACCGAUUGCGAAGGCNAUCUACUGGAACAUUACUGACGCUCAGAUGCNAAAGCGUGNGGAGCAAACAGGAUUAGAUAC